rnacentral:rRNA from 1 species
CACGUAGGCACCAAGCGUUGUCCGGAUUUAUUGGGCGUAAAGAGCUCGUAGGCGGUUCAGUAAGUCGGGUGUGAAAACUCUGGGCUCAACCCAGAGACGCCACCCGAUACUGCUGUGACUUGAGUACGGUAGGGGAGUGGGGAAUUCCUGGUGUAGCGGUGAAAUGCGCAGAUAUCAGGAGGAACACCAGUGGCGAAGGCGCCACUCUGGGCCGUAACUGACGCUGAGACACGAAAGCGUGGGUAGCAAACAGG